rnacentral:rRNA from 1 species
AAAUUGAAGAGUUUGAUCAUGGCUCAGAUUGAACGCUGGCGGCAGGCCUAACACAUGCAAGUCGAGCGGAAACGAGUUAUCAGAACCUUCGGGGGACGAUAACGGCGUCGAGCGGCGGACGGGUGAGUAAUGCCUAGGAAAUUGCCCUGAUGUGGGGGAUAACCAUUGGAAACGAUGGCUAAUACCGCAUGAUGCCUACGGGCCAAAGAGGGGGACCUUCGGGCCUCUCGCGUCAGGAUAUGCCUAGGUGGGAUUAGCUAGUUGGUGAGGUAAGGGCUCACCAAGGCGACGAUCCCUAGCUGGUCUGAGAGGAUGAUCAGCCACACUGGAACUGAGACACGGUCCAGACUCCUACGGGAGGCAGCAGUGGGGAAUAUUGCACAAUGGGCGCAAGCCUGAUGCAGCCAUGCCGCGUGUGUGAAGAAGGCCUUCGGGUUGUAAAGCACUUUCAGUCGUGAGGAAGGUAGUGUAGUUAAUAGCUGCAUUAUUUGACGUUAGCGACAGAAGAAGCACCGGCUAACUCCGUGCCAGCAGCCGCGGUAAUACGGAGGGUGCGAGCGUUAA